AUUGAACGCUGGCGGCAGGCUUAACACAUGCAAGUCGAGCGGAGAUGAGGUGCUUGCACCUUAUCUUAGCGGCGGACGGGUGAGUAAUGCUUAGGAAUCUGCCUAUUAGUGGGGGACAACAUUCCGAAAGGAAUGCUAAUACCGCAUACGUCCUAAGGGAGAAAGCAGGGGAUCUUCGGACCUUGCGCUAAUAGAUGAGCCUAAGUCGGAUUAGCUAGUUGGUGGGGUAAAGGCCUACCAAGGCGACGAGCUGUAGCGGGUCUGAGAGGAUGAUCCGCCACACUGGGACUGAGACACGGCCCAGACUCCUACGGGAGGCAGCAGUGGGGAAUAUUGGACAAUGGGGGAAACCCUGAUCCAGCCAUGCCGCGUGUGUGAAGAAGGCCUUAUGGUUGUAAAGCACUUUAAGCGAGGAGGAGGCUACUGAGACUAAUACUCUUGGGUAGUGGACGUUACUCGCAGAAUAAGCACCGGCUAACUCUGUGCCAGCCGCCGCCGUAA
rnacentral:rRNA from 1 species